ACCAGCGGAGAUAGCACAUUUAUUUCUCCAGUUCCCCACGGAUCACUGAAGUUAAGCAACGUUGCACGUGUUUAGUACCUGGAUGGUGACUAUCUGGAAAAUCGCGAGCUGCCAGGU
rnacentral:rRNA from 1 species